UACAGAGGAGCCAAGCGUUGUCCGGAUUGACUGGGCGUAAAGCGCACGCAGGCGGAUGCGCGCGUGGGGUGUGAAAUCUGGCCGCUUAACGGCCAGGCGCCAUCCCAUACGGCGCGUCUGGAGUGAUGCAGAGGUCGAUGGAAUUGCCGGUGUAGUGGUGAAAUGCGUAGAGAUCCGGAGGAACCCCAGAGGCGAAGGCGGCGUCCUGGCUCGCAUCUGACGCUCAGACACGACAGCAUGGGGAGCGAACGGG
rnacentral:rRNA from 1 species